rnacentral:lncRNA from 1 species
GGCAACCCUCCCGCGGAGGCCGAGAGAGGCCACCGGCCCUUUGUUGAUCUGCGAGAAAUCAAACUACGAACACGACAAGCAUUAGCCUGCAGCUCGAGGAGACAAGGUGUCACAAUUACAAGGGGAAACUAGCCGCCCUAGCUCCACUGUCUCCCCAGCACGAGAGAUUUGAGAACAGAAAGGCUUCCCUCCGCAGGGCGAAACUGCUGGGCUGCCUGGAAGGGCGAGGCAGGGAGCGGAACCGUCUUCAGGAAAUUUCGGGAGUUCCGGGGUCAGGUCCACUCCCCGGCUGUUGUUGUGUUGUUGGCAGGGCAGAGGGUCUAGGAUGCCAGCCUGCUCCGGGCUGCGCUGUGCGCCUAGCCCAGGGCGGGGGGAUGCGGGGCGACACCCGCCUCCCGGUGCAUCCAGGAGUUGUAGUCUCUUCACCGGUUCCCCACUGUGGGUGGUGGGGCUGCAGGAGGACAAUUCAAAUUGAGAUAGGAGCGGAGGCGGAGCGCGGCCGUGCAGGGAGGGGCAGGGCGGUGUAGGCGGCUUCAUUUACCAAGCUUUGCUGGCCAUUGUUUCCAUGCCAAACCCUUGCCAAGGGGAUUGUCAGGAGAGGAACUUGAAGGGGAGGCGUGGGCUGGCCAGUGAGGAGGGUGUGUUUUUGCGAAGUGCGCCCCGUCUUUGCCGAAAUUAGGAGUGUCUGGUCCUCACUCACGCGGCUCUCUGCUGCUCAGGUCGAUUUUCUCUCCCACCCUCACCCAGGCUCUUUCCACAGCAUCACCCCUGCCCCAGCCCCUGGAGCCACCUGCUUUCCUAAGUGGUUUUGGAAACUGGGCUGAGGUCCCAAAGGGUGUCCACUGUGCUGUUGCUCUCCGCUCUGUCCAAGCAAAGCACAAGCUCAGCCGACUUUGAAAGACACCCACCGCCUGGCCUGGGAAUGCACAAGUUCAGAGCUUUGCAAGAAGUGAUCAUGGGCUAUGGCUUUGUGAAAAUGUCACCCUCACCAGUGCCUUUUUCGCGGACGUGGACGUGGAGGAAUGAGGGAGGGUAAUCACUGGGCUACCAAGGUACUGCUAAGAGCAGAAGAGAAAAUCCCAGUUUUCAGCCAUGUGUCUGGUUUGACAUUUCACCAACCCAUUUAAGUGUGCAGGCCCCCAAAUAUCUACCUAAAGAUUAUGAUAGUUUAGGCAUUUUACACUUGAAAUUAUUGACCUCAUAUCCACUGAAGCCUGACUGGCCAGUGUCUCAAAGACACAGAUGAUGACCUGAUCCCUCAGGAACAGCUGGUGCUCCAGCUUUGUGGAGGUGAAUUUCAAGGAAUAAAUCCAACUUGAUCAUAACAUCCAACUGUGUUGCCCAGGCUAGUCUCAAACUCCUGGAUUCAAGAGCCCCUCUCCUCUCAGCCUACGAAAGUGCUGGGAUUAAAGUCCUGAACUGACAGCCACAAGUGGCACCUGAACAGGGACUUGAACAAAGAAGGUCUGCUGGAGCAGAAAAAGUGAAACUGACCAGAUGAAUGAGAAACCCUGGGAUGAGUCUGCCUGCAGAGGAUAUAAGGAGAUGGAUAAACCGUGUGAGUGCCCUCAAGUUGUGUGCGACCAUGGAAUGGGAGACUGGAGGGAUACAUGGAUCCCAACUACAGGCCCAGCUCCUCCAGUAUGAGCCAUGAGCCAGUUGAAUCUGAAUGUGAAGAUGGAAUGAAGACCGACGAGAGUCACACUGACGUCAACCCUCAUAACAUGGGGUCAGAUCAAGAAAACCACACCAGAAGCUGAGAAACUGGUGUAGUGCCAGGGUCAGGCAAAAACCCCUGACUCCAUGUUUAUGGCCAUGCUAGCUGUAAUAUCCUGUGCAGUAUGAUUUUUCUGUGCAGAAGCAAAAACAUAUUGGGCAUAUUUUCCUAACCCACCGGUAGUGUGAUCAUACUCUGAAGCAGCACUCCUCCUGAGAUAUAUCAUGAUCAAGGAGCAUCAGUACCAGGACCUCUAACUCCCCCUGACACAGAGCAAUUAGACUCUCAUAACAAUGGUAUCAAUUAUACCACUCCAUUGGAGGGACUUCCUUUAUGUGUCACCCAGGAUACAUUGCUCAACUGCAGUUGCCUUGCAGUUUGAUCCCAAGCAUGGUUGAGUUACCAUUAAAAAAUUAUGUACCUAUUAGACCUUAGCUUUAUUAAUAUUACUUGUGUAGUUACUAAUCACUCCUGGCCCCAUCACCCAAAUUGUACUGAUUAUACAGAAUGGGCUCCCUUUGAUAAUUCUCACCCCCCUCCUUGGGCCCACUGUCUUGGCCCCUUAGCUAGACAAUAGUCCAUGUUAAUGGGAGACAUUAUUGACUGGGGUCCCUGUGGUCAUUAAGAUGGGAGAGAUGAGAAUCAGACCACAUGGCAUAAACUUCACUGGCACUGGUGGCGAAACUUUAACAUCUCUUCACUUCAACACACUGGGAUUCAAUCCCAAUCUGCCAUGCAACUUGCUUGGCAUGGAACGGGCUUUAGCCCACCUUUGCCUCAAUGGCAUUAUCAAGGAAAGAGAGGUCCAAUUCAGGAGUCUAUGUGGAAGGCAGCACUCCCAUAUAUGAAUGGCAGCAUUUGGGUUGGGACACUAUCCAAUAAUAGUAAUAGUGCUCAAUACAGUUUAAUGUUACCUUUGUAAAAAAUGUUUGAAAUUUGUGUUUUUAAUCCCUAUGUUUUUCUAGCAGCAAAAAAGGACCAACUCCAGGUAAACAAUGCCCAAUUGAAUUGUGAUUCCUGUCAACUCUAUCAUUGCCUUAAUCAUAGCACAAUACAAACACACAGCAUAUCCACCCUAAUAAUUCUAGGUCGCAUUCCUGGAUUAUGGAUUCCUGUAAAUCUAUCUGAGCCUUGGGCAGCCACCCCCACUUUACAUUUUGUAAAACUUCUUACUCAGCUUACUCAUGGCACUCGUAGAGCCUUAGGCAUGAUAAUUUUUACUAUAGUCUCCUUAAUUACAUUAAUACCCUCUGUUGUGGUGUCCUCAGUAGCACUGGACAGCUCCACUCAAACAGCUCAAUAUGCAGAAAAUUGGAUGCAUACAGCUGACCAGGCAUGGAUGUUUCAAAAUAAAACUAACACUGAGAUACAAACAGAAGUGGCAAUGUUAAAGACUACUGUUCUGUGGCUAG